CAUGAGCUGUCUGCAUAUGAAGCAAUGAAAUGUCCUGCACUGACCCUUUCCCUUUAGGAAUUUGAGAGAGCAUGGGGAAGGAAAAGGACAGCAAAGAAGCAGAGCAGCAGAGCUUAGUGAGAGGAGAACCAGGAGCAGAUGUAGUCUUACCCCUCUGGAAGUGUCUGCCUUGGAACUGCUGCUCAUGGUGCCAUCACCAGUCACAGAAACAGCAGCUCUGGACUGGUAGCAGAAUCUGCCACCUAGUACUAUCUCAUCAAGGAUGUAAAAGUCA